AGGCCGCGCCCGCAUGUGAUCCGCCCUCUUUCCCGAAGCUUCGCGGGGCCAUCUGUCGCAGGCAGGCUGGUGCGGGGCUGCACACGCACGUGGCCGCACUGUACCGCACGUGGCGCAAGAUGGCUUGCUCCAUAGGACGUUUUAUCAAGGAUUCGUGUGGGUCAGGUCGCCGUGAUCAACACCACAUGGCAUCUAUAGCAGUUUGUGACGACCAAGGGUGAAAAGAACACGAGCACACCUGAGCUGUCUUGACUUGCUGUCCAUGGAUGUUCACCCUGGGCAUCUGCUGAGAACCAUGGCAGGCGAGGCAUUGACGGCACACCUGGCCUCGACUUGCUGUCCACGGAUGUUCACCCUGGGCCAUCUGCUGAGAACGACGAUAGGAGGCACUGAUUGGUGCUGGUGGUGACGUGGCGCUGCACGCAUACGAGAUGGGAGCACUUGGAAUAAUACACGAAUGUAUUGUUACAAUGUCUAGCAAUUAAUCAACAAGAGCGCUGUUAUUGUUCUUUGGUUUACAAACGUGUUUUGUGUUUAAACAUUUUUAAAUAAAUAUUUUAUGUUUUGAGCA